rnacentral:rRNA from 1 species
GGUUAAGCGACUAAGCGUACACGGUGGAUGCCCUGGCAGUCAGAGGCGAUGAAGGACGUGCUAAUCUGCGAUAAGCGUCGGUAAGGUGAUAUGAACCGUUAUAACCGGCGAUUUCCGAAUGGGGAAACCCAGUGUGUUUCGACACACUAUCAUUAACUGAAUCCAUAGGUUAAUGAGGCGAACCGGGGGAACUGAAACAUCUAAGUACCCCGAGGAAAAGAAAUCAACCGAGAUUCCCCCAGUAGCGGCGAGCGAACGGGGAGGAGCCCAGAGCCUGAAUCAGUGUGUGUGUUAGUGGAAGCGUCUGGAAAGGCGCGCGAUACAGGGUGACAGCCCCGUACACAAAAAUGCACAUGCUGUGAGCUCGAUGAGUAGGGCGGGACACGUGGUAUCCUGUCUGAAUAUGGGGGGACCAUCCUCCAAGGCUAAAUACUCCUGACUGACCGAUAGUGAACCAGUACCGUGAGGGAAAGGCGAAAAGAACCCCGGCGAGGGGAGUGAAAAAGAACCUGAAACCGUGUACGUACAAGCAGUGGGAGCACGCUUAGGCGUGUGACUGCGUACCUUUUGUAUAAUGGGUCAGCGACUUAUAUUCUGUAGCAAGGUUAACCGAAUAGGGGAGCCGAAGGGAAACCGAGUCUUAACUGGGCGUUAAGUUGCAGGGUAUAGACCCGAAACCCGGUGAUCUAGCCAUGGGCAGGUUGAAGGUUGGGUAACACUAACUGGAGGACCGAACCGACUAAUGUUGAAAAAUUAGCGGAUGACUUGUGGCUGGGGGUGAAAGGCCAAUCAAACCGGGAGAUAGCUGGUUCUCCCCGAAAGCUAUUUAGGUAGCGCCUCGUGAAUUCAUCUCCGGGGGUAGAGCACUGUUUCGGCAAGGGGGUCAUCCCGACUUACCAACCCGAUGCAAACUGCGAAUACCGGAGAAUGUUAUCACGGGAGACACACGGCGGGUGCUAACGUCCGUCGUGAAGAGGGAAACAACCCAGACCGCCAGCUAAGGUCCCAAAGUCAUGGUUAAGUGGGAAACGAUGUGGGAAGGCCCAGACAGCCAGGAUGUUGGCUUAGAAGCAGCCAUCAUUUAAAGAAAGCGUAAUAGCUCACUGGUCGAGUCGGCCUGCGCGGAAGAUGUAACGGGGCUAAACCAUGCACCGAAGCUGCGGCAGCGACGCUUAUGCGUUGUUGGGUAGGGGAGCGUUCUGUAAGCCUGUGAAGGUGUGCUGUGAGGCAUGCUGGAGGUAUCAGAAGUGCGAAUGCUGACAUAAGUAACGAUAAAGCGGGUGAAAAGCCCGCUCGCCGGAAGACCAAGGGUUCCUGUCCAACGUUAAUCGGGGCAGGGUGAGUCGACCCCUAAGGCGAGGCCGAAAGGCGUAGUCGAUGGGAAACAGGUUAAUAUUCCUGUACUUGGUGUUACUGCGAAGGGGGGACGGAGAAGGCUAUGUUGGCCGGGCGACGGUUGUCCCGGUUUAAGCGUGUAGGCUGGUUUUCCAGGCAAAUCCGGAAAAUCAAGGCUGAGGCGUGAUGACGAGGCACUACGGUGCUGAAGCAACAAAUGCCCUGCUUCCAGGAAAAGCCUCUAAGCAUCAGGUAACAUCAAAUCGUACCCCAAACCGACACAGGUGGUCAGGUAGAGAAUACCAAGGCGCUUGAGAGAACUCGGGUGAAGGAACUAGGCAAAAUGGUGCCGUAACUUCGGGAGAAGGCACGCUGAUAUGUAGGUGAAGCGACUUGCUCGUGGAGCUGAAAUCAGUCGAAGAUACCAGCUGGCUGCAACUGUUUAUUAAAAACACAGCACUGUGCAAACACGAAAGUGGACGUAUACGGUGUGACGCCUGCCCGGUGCCGGAAGGUUAAUUGAUGGGGUCAGCGCAAGCGAAGCUCUUGAUCGAAGCCCCGGUAAACGGCGGCCGUAACUAUAACGGUCCUAAGGUAGCGAAAUUCCUUGUCGGGUAAGUUCCGACCUGCACGAAUGGCGUAAUGAUGGCCAGGCUGUCUCCACCCGAGACUCAGUGAAAUUGAACUCGCUGUGAAGAUGCAGUGUACCCGCGGCAAGACGGAAAGACCCCGUGAACCUUUACUAUAGCUUGACACUGAACAUUGAGCCUUGAUGUGUAGGAUAGGUGGGAGGCUUUGAAGUGUGGACGCCAGUCUGCAUGGAGCCGACCUUGAAAUACCACCCUUUAAUGUUUGAUGUUCUAACGUUGACCCGUAAUCCGGGUUGCGGACAGUGUCUGGUGGGUAGUUUGACUGGGGCGGUCUCCUCCUAAAGAGUAACGGAGGAGCACGAAGGUUGGCUAAUCCUGGUCGGACAUCAGGAGGUUAGUGCAAUGGCAUAAGCCAGCUUGACUGCGAGCGUGACGGCGCGAGCAGGUGCGAAAGCAGGUCAUAGUGAUCCGGUGGUUCUGAAUGGAAGGGCCAUCGCUCAACGGAUAAAAGGUACUCCGGGGAUAACAGGCUGAUACCGCCCAAGAGUUCAUAUCGACGGCGGUGUUUGGCACCUCGAUGUCGGCUCAUCACAUCCUGGGGCUGAAGUAGGUCCCAAGGGUAUGGCUGUUCGCCAUUUAAAGUGGUACGCGAGCUGGGUUUAGAACGUCGUGAGACAGUUCGGUCCCUAUCUGCCGUGGGCGCUGGAGAACUGAGGGGGGCUGCUCCUAGUACGAGAGGACCGGAGUGGACGCAUCACUGGUGUUCGGGUUGUCAUGCCAAUGGCACUGCCCGGUAGCUAAAUGCGGAAGAGAUAAGUGCUGAAAGCAUCUAAGCACGAAACUUGCCCCGAGAUGAGUUCUCCCUGACUCCUUGAGAGUCCUGAAGGAACGUUGAAGACGACGACGUUGAUAGGCCGGGUGUGUAAGCGCAGCGAUGCGUUGAGCUAACCGGUACUAAUGAACCGUGAGGCUUAACCUU